GAUGAAGAACGUAGCGAAAUGCGAUAAGUAAUGUGAAUUGCAGAAUUCAGUGAAUCAUCGAAUCUUUGAACGCACCUUGCGCUCCUUGGUAUUCCGAGGAGCAUGCCUGUUUGAGUGUCAUGAAAUUCUCAACCUUUUCAGCUUUCUUUGUUGAUCAGGCUUGGAUGUGGGAGUAUGCGGGCUUCUCAGAAGUCGGCUCUCCUGAAAUGCAUUAGCGGGACCUUUGUUGCCUGGCUUUGGUGUGAUAAUUAUCUACGCCAUUGUAGUCAAGCAGCUUAAAAUGAGGUUUCAGCUUCUAACCGUCUCCCCUGAGACAACUUUUUUACAAUUUGACCUCAAAUCAGGUAGGACUACCCGCUGAACUUAAGCAUAUCAAUAAGCGGAGGA
rnacentral:misc_RNA from 1 species